rnacentral:snRNA from 2 species
AUUGCUUCUUGGCCUUUUGGCUAAGAUCAAGUGUAGAAAUAAAAAAUUACACAUUUGUUGGAUUUGUUCCUUCAGAGUUCUUCCUUUUAAAAUCUCUAGUGGGAUAGAUACUGAGAAAGCAUUUUGUAUCUUCCCUGG